rnacentral:rRNA from 1 species
UGGGGAAUCUUGGACAAUGGGGGCAACCCUGAUCCAGCCAUGCCGCGUGGGUGAAGAAGGCCUUAGGGUUGUAAAGCCCUUUCAGUCGUGACGAUGAUGACGGUAGCGACAGAAUAAGCACCGGCUAACUCCGUGCCAGCAGCCGCGGUAAUACGGAGGGUGCAAGCGUUGUCCGGAUUUAUUGGGUUUAAAGGGUGCGUAGGCGGUUAUUUAAGUCAGUGGUGAAAACCCUGAGCUCAACUGAGGGCUUGCCAUUGAUACUGGAUAACUUGAUUACCGUACAGGUAGGCGGAAUUUAUGGUGUAGCGGUGAAAUGCAUAGAUACCAUAAAGAACACCGAUAGCGAAGGCAGCUUACUGGAGGGUUAAUGACGCUGAUGCACGAAAGCGUGGGUAGCGAACGGGAUUAGAUACCCGUGUAGUCC